CACUUUCCAUUUAGGGAGCCCCAUAGGGCUGUAGAGUUCUCAUUUGAUGUUUUUUUUUCACAUCGUCUGGGAAAUCAGAGAAUUGCAGAGAGACCGGCGAUGGGCUACACCAAAGACCAGCUGCUCGGACAUCUAAAGGAGCUUCAAAUUGAUUUUUCCUGUAUUGAUCAUCCUGUGGUCUUGACGGUUGAAGCUGCGUUAAAAUAUGUUGGACAUUUGGGAGGUGGAAUGAGUAAAAACUUAUUUUUGAAGGACAAAAAACAUAGGUUUUAUAUUGUUUCCACUCUGGCGGGUACAACUGUGGAUUUAAAAGGUAUAUCUCAUUUCUUUCUCUACUGAUGGAUAGAUUUAUGAAGAGAGUAAAAAAUUUUCAAUUCCCAAAAGGUGGGACCGGCUACCAGAACAGAAAAAAGGCCAAGCAGAAAAGUACUCAACUCAUGGCCCCCUGACAUGGCAUGGACUGGACCAAAGAAUUCCUCUGCUAGCUAACUCAUGGAAUGAGAGAUUUUAGCAUCCCAUGUCUCCAUUGGGACAAGAUGUUUGAGUAGACAAAGUACUUGAUUUCUAAGAACUGAUGGCAACUUAAAAUUAAAAAUAAAAGUAGAAGAAGAGAAGAAAAAAAGAAAAAAAGGAAGAGGGGAAAUUAUGUUUAUCUGUAGUCUCCUUCCUAUCCACAAACGCAUAGUAUUCACAAUUUCACAUGCCCCUCAUAAUACAAGGAUGAUAAUGCUUUUAGAUCACACACUAUAACAGUAGUUUUGGAUAUUCCAAUAAAAUGAAACAUCACCGAACAACUAUGAGUUUGUUGAUAAACUGGACCUAUGCCUAGUUGCCUACAUUCCAAUAAGGUAUAGAGGAGUUGGAGUGACGUGUUCUAGGGUAGACAAAACAUGAUUAGGAUAGUAUAAUAACCACAGGACAGAAACGCAAUCCAAGUAAUAAACAGAAGUGUAGAAUAUAGAAAGUUAAAAUAUCUCAGAUUCUAAUGGUUGGAUAGGGCUGAGGUUAAAGUCGAUUAGACCCCUAAAUUUUUCUUGUUCUUUUUUUUAGGUUGAACUAAAUAUGUUGUUCAAUCCCCUCCAAAUAUCAAGCUGAUCCAAUGGUGGGAUCUACUAGAACAGUGUAUGACAGAAAAUAUAAACUCAGAUAUCAGUAUUUAGUGACUCCUAUGAUUAGUGAUAUAUUACAAUCCCUGGGUCGGUUGACCCCCAAAAUUAUGGUCAAAGGUAGAGGGGACAGGGAAGUAAACUAUAUCAAAAAAGGGGCCAGUCCGAUGGCUGGAUUGGUUACAGUGAUAGCUCAAAAACCCUGCAGCCAGAAUUAGUUAACAACACAGAAAACCAAUAGCUAGUAAUGAAUACCUGCAAACCAGUGAGUAAAACAGUGAUAGAAUGGCAUUAAAAGUUUACAACGGAAGGAAUGAAGGGAAUAAAAGGGGUGAGAACAAACAAAUUAAACCUAGGAAUUGAUGGUUGUUGGACAACCUAAAACAGUUAAUAGGAUGGGGGGGAAAAAAAAUGAAACCGUGGGGAAGAAUUUUGGGUUAGAAUCCUGCAGGAAAAUAUUGAUAGAUGAUAGAUAUUAUAAAACAACAAGAUGAAACUCAAAGUGAAGUAAAAUCCACCUAGAGAAAAGUCACGUAGGGACUAGGAAGAGGGGGUUGGUGCUUGCUGGAAAUUGACAGAAUCGGUUGGAAGAACAAAGGAGGAAAAGAAGAAGGUGAGAGAAGGUAGGGGGAAAGAAGAGAGAUGGCUUGGUUUCACCACCAAAACCUAGGUAAGGCUUCACCACCCACCCGUCCAAGGUUUCACCACCUUGGUUGCACUUGAUGCACCACAAGGCUAUUGCUUCAUUGAAGAGACACAUUAGGUUGAAUGCCAACAACGUGGGAGAAGGUCUCCCUUCUUCUAUUUAUUAAUUUGUGUAGUUGCACUUACAAAUUAGAAAGCUUGGCUAGCAAGUAGUCUACAAUCAAAAUAGAAACUUCUAAAACCAUAGAGGAAAAAUUACAUUGAAAUAAAAACUUGGACUACAAUAUAUGUUGUUCAGCAACUACUCCAACAGGUAGGCCAUUAGGGAAUAAAGAACGGGCUUCAAUACUGCUGCAACUGAUAGCUUAUAUUGGGCUUAAAUGAUGACCCAUAAUGUGCUUAAUUUAUAACCAUAACGGGCCUUAGUGGGGGGCUUAAGUGAGCUGGUUAUAACUUGUCCACUGGGCUUGUGGUCACAAUGGACCUUCGCUUUCCUCCAUCAUUUCCGCUCCGUCCCCGACAUGGGGAUGGAAAAGGAAAAGGUAUUGGAUAGCGAUAAUGUGUAGCAUGGUCAUACGCUAGGGUUCAAUCCUAAGAAUAUGGAUCGGUACCUUUGGUCCUCAAAUGUCAAGAGAGGGUACACAAUAUGAAUAAAGGGGAGUCGCCACCUAGAAAGGGUCUAAGACCCAUAAAUGUCUCCCCCAAUUAAGGGGGAGAGACUAAUGACUCAAUGGAUAAGACUGGUUUACACUAGGAUUCUGGGCAAGUGUCAAGUAACAGACUGGGAAGGUGUUAGGCACCCAGUCUACCUUGCCCUAGAGCCGGUCUCUUUCUGUUUGACCAAAGUUUGUUUGUACCCUACUAAGUAGUCCUAAAUCUAAGUCACUGAAAAUCCUAAACUAGGUAUUUAAGCAAAAGACUUGUCCAAUUCUAAACGAAGUGUCUAAGUUAUGCUAACCUAGGUCAUGGUACAAAAAGUAAAAGUAGACUAGCUAGAAAAGCAUGAAAAAUCUAAAUGAGUUGGUGUGUGGAUUAUGGACCCUAAAUUGGACUAAUUGGAUUAAUUGAGCCUAACCUAGAUGGAUGAUUAAUGAAUUUAUGAAAUCGUAAAUUGAACUAAUUGGAUUAAUUGAGCCUAACCUAAAUGGAUGAUUAAUGAAUUUAUGAAAUCCUAAAUUGAACUAAUUGGUGAAAUGUUUCUAAUUAGCCAAUACCUUAUGAAAUAAGAGAAAGAAGGAUUGGACUAGCUACCUUAAGUGAAUGCAUUUAAAUGGCCUAAUGAAUCUAGUUCAAACAGAUUAAACUAAAGCAGUUUAUGAGGCCUAAUUAUGUUAGUUACAAUUGGUUUGAUCUAACUUAGGGGAUGUAUUAAAGAUGCUACAAAAAUCUUAUUUAGAUUAGUGAGAUGAUAUGUUUUUAACUACUUAAUGCUGCUCUAAUUAAUUACCCUAAAGUAAGUAACUAAUUGUGUGUCAAGAAACUAAAUAUACAACAUUACACUACAUAACUCUAUAAAGUAGAUGUCCAAUGUAGGUGAGGAGAAAAUAUAUGUAAAGGAAAAUUAACUCUAGAUGCAUACAUGGUGUGAAGGAAUUGAAAUGAUUUAAGCAUGCAAAUCCUAAAUUAACACAUGGCAUGAUAUUCUUAUUCAAAGUUAAAACAAUAAAAGAAUAAAUCAAGAUGGGCCUAAUGAUGGAGUUAAAAAUAUGGAUUGGAUUGGGACAGGGCAAAAAAAAAAAAAAAAAAAAAAAAAAAAACAGAUUGAUCGCAUUUGGUUUGACAAGGCUCAUAAAUUUUAAAUGGACUCAAUAUGUUUUGGAAAGGGGAGGUAUUGGAGGCCCAACAGAUGUAAAAUAAGACCACUCCAGGGGUGGUUCCAUUUGCAGGUUUAUAUGCUCAAUGCCUCAGUACGAGCUCAAGCUCUUCUCCCACGGCCUAAACCAAACCAAUCAAUACCCAUGGGCUUAGACCGAAAUCAAAGCACAAAACCAUCCCUAUUUCAACUAGCGGGCCAAAAGUGAAAUCAAGCCCAAGGGGGCUAAAGAUUUUGGUCAAUUUAAACUUGCCAUUUAGAUCCAAAUAAAUCCAAGGGAUUCAUCUUUGAACCAAAAUUUGCCAAAGCCGACACUAAAAGUAAUCCAAAAGAUAAAUAAAUGGGAGAGGGAGUGAUGUAGAUCCACAUUAUGGAAGGAAAUAUGAGUGGAAGAAGGGUCCAGCCUUAGUCCACCUGAGUGGUUAGGGUCCAGCCAAGA